rnacentral:rRNA from 1 species
GACGAACGCUGGCGGCGUGCUUAACACAUGCAAGUCGAACGGAAAGGCCCUGCUUGCAGGGUACUCGAGUGGCGAACGGGUGAGUAACACGUGGGUGUUCUGCCCUGCACUUCGGGAUAAGCCUGGGAAACUGGGUCUAAUACCGGAUAGGAGCCAUUUUUCGUGUGAUGGUUGGAAAGUUUUUUCGGUGUAGGAUGAGCGCGCGGCCUAUCAGCUUGUUGGUGGGGUAAUGGCCUACCAAGGCGGCGACGGGUAGCCGGCCUGAGAGGGUGGACGGCCACAUUGGGACUGAGAUACGGCCCAGACUCCUACGGGAGGCAGCAGUGGGGAAUAUUGCACAAUGGGCGCAAGCCUGAUGCAGCGACGCCGCGUGGGGGAUGACGGCCUUCGGGUUGGAAACUCCGUUCGCUAGGGACGAAGCUUUUUGUGACGGUACCUAGAUAAGAAGCACCGGCUAACUACGUG